rnacentral:rRNA from 1 species
CUCCAAGGCUAAAUACUCCUGACUGACCGAUAGUGAACCAGUACCGUGAGGGAAAGGCGAAAAGAACCCCGGCGAGGGGAGUGAAAAAGAACCUGAAACCGUGUACGUACAAGCAGUGGGAGCACCUUCGGGUGUGACUGCGUACCUUUUGUAUAAUGGGUCAGCGACUUAUAUUCUGUAGCAAGGUUAACCGUAUAGGGGAGCCGCAGGGAAACCGAGUCUUAACUGGGCGUUAAGUUGCAGGGUAUAGACCCGAAACCCGGUGAUCUAGCCAUGGGCAGGUUGAAGGUUGGGUAACACUAACUGGAGGACCGAACCGACUAAUGUUGAAAAAUUAGCGGAUGACUUGUGGCUGGGGGUGAAAGGCCAAUCAAACCGGGAGAUAGCUGGUUCUCCCCGAAAGCUAUUUAGGUAGCGCCUCGUGAACUCAUCUUCGGGGGUAGAGCACUGUUUCGGCUAGGGG